CCUACGGGUGGCUGCAGUAGGGAAUCUUCCACAAUGGACGAAAGCCUGAUGGAGCAAAGCCGCGUGAGUGAUGAAGGGUUUAUGCUCGUAAAGCUCCGUUGGUAGUGAAGAAAGAUAGAGGUAGUAACUGGCCUUGAUUUGACGGUAAUUACUUAGAAAGUCACGGCUAACUACGUGCCAGCAGCCGCGGUAAUACGUAGGUGGCAAGCGUUGUCCGGAUUUAUUGGGCGUAAAGGGAGUGCAGGCGGUUCAAUAAGUCUGAUGUGAAAGACUUCGGCUCAACCGGAGAAUUGCAUCAGAAACUGGUGAACUUGAGUGCAGAAGAGGUAAGUGGAACGCCAGGUGUAGCGGUGAAAUGCGUAGAUAUAUGGAAGAACACCGAUGGCGAAGGCAGCUCACUGGGCUGCAACUGACGCUGAAGCUCGAAAGCAUGGGUAGCGAACAGGAUUAGAUACCCUGGUAGUC
rnacentral:rRNA from 1 species